UACGGGGGGAGCAAGCGUUGUUCGGAUUUACUGGGCGUAAAGGGCGCGUAGGCGGCCAGCACAAGUCAGUUGUGAAAUCUCCGAGCUUAACUCGGAAAGGUCAACUGAUACUGUGCGGCUAGAGUGCGGAAGGGGCAACUGGAAUUCUUGGUGUAGCGGUGAAAUGCGUAGAUAUCGAGAGGAACACCUGCGGCGAAGGCGGGUUGCUGGGCCGACACUGACGCUGAGGCGCGAAAGCCAGGGGAGCGAACGGG
rnacentral:rRNA from 1 species